rnacentral:rRNA from 1 species
ACAAGCUACACAGAGUACGAGGUGGAUGCCUAGGCGCUGAAAGCCGAAGAAGGACGCGGAGACCGGCGAAACGUUCAGGGGGAGCUGCAUACAAGCGAUGAGCCCUGAGAAUCCGAAUGGGGCAACCCAUCCAGAGUCAUGUCUGGAUACCGCCUGCUGAAUCUAUAGGCAGUGACGGGGGGAAGCGGGCGAACUGAAACAUCUCAGUAGCCCGACGAGAAGAAAUCAACCGAGAUUCCCGUAGUAGUGGCGAGCGAACCGGGACAAGCCCAAACCAUCCUCUCUUUCGGGAGGGGGCGGGGUUGUAGGACCAGCAACAAAUCAAUCCGAGCUACUCAAACGCGUUGGAAAGCGCGACCAGAGUGGGUGAGAGUCCCGUAGAGGACGGCUUAGAACGAUGGGCUGGGAUCCUGAGUACCACGAGGCACGUGAAACCUUGUGGGAAGCUGGGGGGACCACCCUCCAAGGCUCAACACUUUCAGCGACCGAUAGUGAACAAGUACCGUGAGGGAAAGGUGAAAAGUACCCCGAGAGGGGGAUGAAAGAGACCCUGAAACCACGUACUCACCAGCAGUCAGAGGUCACUGUGCCACGAGGCACUAAGGACUGAUGGCGUGCCUUUUGUAGAAUGAUCCGGCGAGUGCAUCGGCGUUGCAGGUUAACCAGCGGUAAAGCUGGGGAGCCAGAGGGCAACCGAGUUUGAAGAGAGCGCAAGUAGCGCCGAUGCGACCCGAAACCACGUGAGCUAUCCAUGGUCAGAGUGAAGCGAAGGUGAAACUUCGUCGAGGCUCGAACUCACCAGUGUUGCAAAACUGGGGGAUGAACUGUGGAUAGGGGAGAAAUUCCAACCGAACGUGGAGAUAGCUGGUUCUCCCCGAAAUGUAUUGAGGUACAGCCACGUGACAGCUAUUGUGGAGGUAGAGCGCGGCAUGAGCUAGGGGCCAAGUGCUGGUUACCAACCUCAAGCCAACUACGAAUGCCACAACAGAUCAGCGCGUGAGUGAGACAGUGGGGGCUAAGCUUCAUUGUCGAAAGGGAAACAGCCCAGACCAUCAGCUAAGGUCUCAAAGAGAUGCUCAGUGUGAAAGGGAGUCAUUUCGCCCAAACAGCCAGGAUGUUGGCUUAGAAGCAGCCAUCAUUGAAAGAGUGCGUAAUAGCUCACUGGUCGAGUGGAGUGGCACCGACAACGUAUCGAGGCUCAAGCAUCACACCGAAGCUAUGGAUACCUUUUUUCGGAAAGGUAUGGUAGGGGAGCGUUCUCUAAGCCUGAGAAGCCAGACUGGAAAGACUGGUGGAGGUACGAGAAGUGAGAAUGCCGGAAUGAGUAGCGUCAUAUCUGUAAGAACCAGAUACACCGGAAGCCUGAGGGUUCCUGGGCAACGUCAAUCGUCCCAGGGUGAGUCGGGUCCUAAGCCGAGGACGUCAUAGUCGUAGGCGAUGGAAAGCAGGUCAGAAAUUCCUGCACCAGAGACAAUCGUUAUGAGCAAUGGGGGGACGCGGUAGGGAAGGUGAACCCAGCAAGUGGACAGGCUGGGCGUUUCGUUCGAAGUGCGUAUCCGAGGCAAAUCCCGGAUACCUGAGCAUGACGGCGGAACCGAGCUUGAGCAAUCAGGCGGAAGUCACUGUGCCCCAGGCCGUCAAGAAAAGCCUCUCGCCAGAUUGGUCUCUGCUCGUACCGCAAACCGACACUGGUAGGCAAAGAGAAAUCUCUUCAGGUGAACGAGCGACCCUCUGUCAAGGAACUCGGCAAAUUAACCCCGUACCUUCGGAAGAAGGGGUGCCUGAGUAGCUUCCGUCUUCGGACGGGGGUGAGCAGGCCGCAGGAAAUGGGCUCAAGCGACUGUUUACCAAAAACACAGGUCUCUGCAAACACGAAAGUGGACGUAUAGGGGCUGACUCCUGCCCAGUGCCGGAAGGUUACGAGGAGUGGUGAGCGUAGCCAUGAAUCUAAGCCCCGGUGAACGGCGGCCGUAACUAUAACGGUCCUAAGGUAGCGAAAUUCCUUGUCGGGUAAGUUCCGACCCGCACGAAUGGCGUAACGAGAUGGGCGCUGUCUCGGCCACGUAC